rnacentral:rRNA from 1 species
UACGUAGGGUGCGAGCGUUGCCCGGAUUUAUUGGGCGUAAAGGGCGCGUAGGCGGCUCUGCACGUCCGUUGUGAAAUCGCCCGGCUCAACUGGGCGGGGUCAGCGGAUACGGCAGAGCUCGAGCAAGCUAGGGGGCAAUGGAAUUCCCGGUGUAGUGGUGGAAUGCGUAGAUAUCGGGGAGGAACACCAGUGGCGAAGGCG